UGGCAGCACAAAGCAGAGGCAACACGCGCCAUUCUGAGGGAGCAGUGCGAUCAUCCCGGUGACGAUGUCACAGACAGCUCGCCCAGCACACGGGUGGGAGAAGGGCACACUACACAGGUCAAGACACACUCGCCACAAAGUGACAGAGUGACAGGACCAAGGAUGGCUCUGAUAAUGAUAAGACCACACGAAGCGUUGGCAAGGAUACGGAAAAACUGGAACGGACACUGCGGACACUGCCGGUAGGAAUGUAAAACUGUACAGCCACUUUGGAAAACGGUUAUGGUUUGACAGCUCCUCCAAAGCUUAAACAUAGUUACCACAACGACCCGGCAACUCCAUUCAGAAGAUAUGAAAACAUAUGUCCCAUAAAACUUGCUCUAGACUGCUCAUGGCAGUAUUCAUAAUGGUCAAAAAGCAACAACAAUCGAAAUGCCUAUCAGCUGAUGAAUGGAUUAGCAAAAUGUGGUAUAUCUAUAUAAUAGAAUGCUAUUUGGCAAUGAAAAGAACAGAGUACUACAAAAUAGUAGAUAACUGGCUGCUAGGGGCUGGUGAGGGUGGGAGGUGACUGCUAAUCAGCACAGGGUUUCUUUUUAGGGUGAUAAAAAUGCUCUAAAAUUAUAUAUGGCCACGGUUGUACAACUCUGUAAGUAUACUAAAAACCACUGAAUUGUAUAGUUAAAACAAGUGGAUUUUAUGAGAUAUAACUUAUAUCUCAAUAAAGCUUAAAAAGAAAAGAAGUAGGCAGGACACCUUCUUGAGAUUCAAUUUGUAGAAUGGAGUAAAACUCAACAAAACAUAAAGUUCUUGAAACACAUGCUCAUUAAUCUUUAGCAUGAAUCAAAAUCCCAGUUAUUAACAAGCAGAUUAUACACGCAUUUGGCAUAAAUUGGCAGCUGAUCCACCUAAAAGAGGGGAAUCCAUUGUAAGAAUAGAAACCAAAUACUCUCGUAAAAAGGUGGAAGAAGAGCAGCUAUAAACUAUCUAACAAAGGAUACCCGUAAAGGACAACUACCACACAGUAAAAUCAGACAGCCCAAACUGCCGAGCAUAUCUAAUGAAUACAUAACAACUGGAACAAAUUUUGAACACAAACUAAAUAAUAAUGAUACUAGCAAACACUUUCAUGAAAAUGUAAAAUUUAAUGCAAGUUACAAAUUCCAGUAGGAUACUCACAAGGAGAAAUUUCACUUCUCUCUGGAGAUGAUUCAAAGGACCUCUGGGCUCUCCCGAUUCCACUUUAAUAUUCUAAAAAGUUCCCAAAGUCAGUUUGCACUGGAAAUCCCAUCUUUUCUGCAUAAGGGUCACAGUUACUUGCGUUUCAAAUUCCCCACACAUUAAAACAUGUAUUUCCUAAAGCACUAAUGAACGUAAGUAGGGUAAUACUGCACUUAGAAUAUCAUACCCAGAGACACCAUAGAUCCUGUCCAUCCCGAUACAGUAACCUAAACUCAUGCCACCACCCCCUCUCGACUCCGCCAUCCUACCUAUGUGGAACAUCUGCUCUCCUGCCCUUUCCCACUGAAUUUCCAAAAGACACGUGGGAGAAAUGUAAACAAAUACAUCUUAAGACCCAAUGACAAACUUAGCAUUCAUUUCCACGUACCAAAAAUAACCGCCCCCUAAUAAAUAUGUUCAGUAGACUCCUAACUAAACCAACAGUGUGCUGUCUUAGCCAGAAGAGAAAAGCAUUAAGAACAUAAUUAUCCAUAAUCCCGCCACCCUGGGGGAAUAACAAUUAACCCCGUCCAGGCUUCCGUGUCACAGUUUUUUAAAACAUAGUUGAGAUCCUACUGUAUACACUAUUUUGUACAUCUUCCUUUUUUCUGCUUAAUAAGAAUUUCCUGUUAUUAUUAAAGACAUUUUACAUCAUGAUUUUUAAAGAAUACACAAUAUUUCAUUAGGGAAAUCUACUUUAAUCAUUUCCCUAUUGAACAUUCAGGUUUGUUUUUAAUAUUUUAGAAACACGCUUAUUAUCACAAUAUGAAACUAUCUUUGUACAUAAAUUUUUUGCCAGCAAUUCCGAUUAACUUCUUAAGUCAGAUGCCUGGAAAUAUAAAUAUAAAGCGAAAAGGCCUAACAAACAGCCCAAAUUGCUAAGCGUAUCUAACGGAUACAUAACAACUGGAACAAAUUUUGAACACAAACUAAAUAAUAAUGAUACUAGCAAACACUUUUAUGAAAAUACAAAAUUUAAUGCAAGUUACUGUAUUGCCAGUAUCUGCAAUCUUUUAAGAACAGGAGAGAGAAGUCAUUUUGAUCAUUUCACUUGGGUCCCAACUCAAGAGACUUUAUUAAUCACUAGAAAACUCUUAAGUUACAUAACUGCAGCACUGUGGGCAACUGACAGAUCAGAUCGCCCAGCAAAACCUCCAUCCACUGCCCUGGUGAGACCUCAGGGGUGAGGUGGGCCUCAGAGCUGUCCGGCGAGGGCUAGGGCUGGCGCUGGCAGCAUGCAGCACCAGCAACAAGCAAGCGAAGAGUAAAUUCACACUGAAUAAACUCAACAUAAAAUAAAGUUUGCUCCUACCAGGGUUGCAGUUGAGGACAGUGGAGGGGUUUGAAGAAUCUCAUCCACGGGACUCCAGGAAAUAUCCAAAGUGAUCGUAGUCUGUGAUGCGGCAAGUGUGUCGUCCAAGGCCAUGGACUUAAACAGCUCAUACUGGGCAAAGCCCCUGGCUGUUACCUGAAAAAAAGCAUAUCCAGCCAACCCGACCCACUGUUAGCCACGCUUUCACAUGGCCAGAGGCCCAUUAUCAAAACUACCUUGGUUCUUUUCCCAGCAAAAGAAAAAGCACUACAAUUUUAUCCCAAAUGGAAAAAUAAAACCAUUCUUUUUCAUCACAGAGACUGGCUAAAAAGCAAGAAGGCACCUACUUUUAGUCACUAGCCAAUAUGAAAAUAAACACAAACAUUUUGAUACUAUUAAAAAAACACAUCUAGUCCUAUUAGGAGUGAAAAAAGCAUUAAACAAGGGAGGCACAUCCGUAACAGUUUGAAGAAAAUAACGUGAGCAGAAGAGAAAUACUUACAGUAGACAAGUGAUGUCUUUUCUUAUGUGAACUUUUUAGGUCUUCAAGAUUUACAGAAUAAUUUUUAUCAGCUAUAAGACAUAAAAGGAAACAUCAUUUUAAAGGUCAUGAUCUCAUGGUCCAGUUCGUGAAAUGGAGCCCCGAGUCAAGUUGGGCUCUAUGCUGACAGCAGGAAGCCUGCUUGGGAUUCUCUCUCCCUCUCUCUCUGCCCACCUGCCCCCCACUUGUGCGUACAUUCUUCUCUCUCUAAAUAAAUAAAUAAACAUUUAAAAAAAGGGAGGGGGGAAGAAAAGUGGAGCAAAGGCCAAUACUGAAACCAUGCCCCAUACAGUAAAUGAAGUUGAAACAGCAGAAAAUUUAAAGCUUGUUUUUCAGAGACCUGUUUCUCUCUAAUCAGCCAUUGUGUCUUUUCAGAUCCCACUAAUAAAUCUACUAGAUGUCUCUCUAGAAACCUGGACUCAGGGUCAACGGAAACGGCUCCAGUCAAUGAAAAAGCAAGGCUCUGCACCCCUUACCCAAGGUAACGAGCCCCAGACGCCAUUAUCCAAUUUGUACAGGCUCUUGA